rnacentral:lncRNA from 1 species
CCACCCUAGUUUAGUGAUUCAGAUUAGCUCCGCUGAAGGUAAGAGCGCUAGUCUUGGUUGACACCAGGAGAGAGAACUGAAUUUAGUUCCCUCUUUCUGAUAGUGAGCAUUUCACAAGCAGCACAGAUUUGUGGUAGGUCCUUCUUGUUUAUUUUGUGUGUGUGCCCAUAUCUGCUUUGGGAGCCUGUGGUAAUCUUGCUACAAUCUGAAGUCCCAAAAUACCACAAGAAGGGGUGUCUUACGCUGUCUCCAGUCUAGCCAAUGACAAAUAAUUCCUAGGAAUACCACAAGGAAGUUGAUUUAUGGUUUGAUUUCUCAAACAAAGAGCUCUGGACAAAGUUCAGAUAAGCAAGUAAUCUUAUGGAUGCUUAUCUGGAAUAAAUUGGUGUAUCUCUGGGGCUUCAUUCAAGACAAAAACGACCACAAGACAGAAAGCAGAGAAAAUGAAAAAUGUAUCUCAUAAGAAAGUACUGAAAGGGUUUAGAAACUGGCAUGUUUCUCUUCAGGUCACUAGCACAUUUCAAAGACCUAAUUAAUUUUAGUGUGUUUAAUUGUUGUCUGUUCCCCUCCCUCUGGUUUUUAAUUUCCCUUUUAUACAGCUUAUGAGCCAGAAGGUUUUCAAGACUGCAAGGUUAACCCUGGGUGCAUGGAAUGUAUAAACCAACUUUUCAGCAGUAGGAUUUAUACGAGGGGGAGAAUGCAGGAUUUGCCAGGUGCAGACAGAUGUAGAUGAUGCCUGCAGAGCUUUAAUACCCUGAUGAUGGUAAUUGUAAACCUGAGAAUUCAGACAGUGAGAAGGGGCAAAGCACGGCACCAAUCUAAGCCUUGCAGCAUUCCUGAGUUGCAGGACCUAAGGCUUAAUAUCUUACUAGAAAAAACAGGAAAAAUUAAUCCUGGUUUUGCAAGAAGGUAUUGGAAAAGAGUUUCUCAGAAAUUACCAUAUUUGUUCAAGAAUUUAAAAAGGUCUAUGCAGUGUGCUGUACAGGGAGUGAAGAGUGGUCUGAACUAAAAUUCUUGGAAGAGAGCAAGCAGCCCAUGCAUCUCGCAAAGAGCAAGAAAUGAUGAAUGAGGCAGACACAGGAGCAGAUGAAGAUGUUAUGUUCAUAUCAGUCAUAUGUGAAGUGAUUUACUUCUAUUUUUGCUUUCAGCUUUGACUGGCACCGCAAAUUUUAAGGAUGUUCCACAACAGUGGACGGACAGAGUGCAGUGUUUGUUUUCUCUGGUUGACAAAAGUCUAAUAAUAGUAGUAACCUCAGGGUCAGAGGGAGUUAUCAAAUCUGAUCAUGAUAACUGCUUAAAGUAAAAGACCUAAGCAAUAGUGUACCAGAGCAGGAAAGAAAGGCAGAAUUAGAAAAUCACACUGUGGCCUCCUAUUUCUGCAUCAUAUAUUCAUGUGAAUCUGAUGCCAUGUAGCACACUCAGCAAGGUAGUGAGAGGCUGUAUCUGAAAUUUUCUAUCUCACCUGGGAGACUGACUUGGUGGUAGGAAGACCAGGCAGGGACAAGGAAAUUUGGUUUUCUGGUCCCUCCUUUGUUGGAAACAUCUGUGACUUCUGGAAACUCCAAUGUAUUUCAACUCAUUCCUACCUCUCCUGCCCAUGAAUGACUUGCUGUAUGUCCCUCACCCAUAUGGAUAUGUUUGAGAAUUAAUGUUAUUAAAGAUUAGAAAGGAUUAGGUUGAUAUUGCAGCUGUACAGAUCUCACAAAACAGGCAGGGCUUUGGAUUAUGGGAAUUCUCAAUGUUCCUUCCAGCUUUUCAUCCACAUGAUUUCAACAUUUGCAAUACUCAUAUUACAUGGUGAUUAAAAUCUGAUAGUAGGUAUUUGAUAGUAUACCUUUAACAUGUAGAGACAUAAAAUGCUAUCUUUUGGGUUCUGUGGGAGAUGUGACUGGAUUUAACUUACUUUUCCAGAUGAAAUAGUAAGUUCAUUUCUUCCAUUUCUUUUGUCUUUCACAACUUGGAUUUGAGGGUGUUUCCUGGGGCACAAAUAACAUAACGACUGAAGUGAGAGGUUCUGGGAUUCUCUUUGUACCUAUUAUAAAAUACAUAGCAAUAGAUGGAAUUUCAGUCACUAUAAGAUAAAAAUAACAGAAGCCUGAAGUCAGGUCUUGAAAAUUACUUACAACAUUUUCAGAUCAAUGUUAUGUUUUGUGAUUGCAUAUUUAUUUAAGUUUUUGAUAACAUCAUCUGAAAGCGUUAUGGCUUGAUAAAAGAGUGGAAUAAAGAUAUAGAGAAUUUCA